rnacentral:rRNA from 1 species
GACGAACGCUGGCGGCGUGCUUAACACAUGCAAGUCGAACGGAAAGGCCCUGCUUUUGUGUGGUGCUCGAGUGGCGAACGGGUGAGUAACACGUGAGUAACCUGCCCUUGACUUUGGGAUAACUUCAGGAAACUGGUGCUAAUACCGGAUAGGAGCUCCUGCUGCAUGGUGGGGGUUGGAAAGUUUCGGCGGUUGGGGAUGGACUCGCGGCUUAUCAGCUUGUUGGUGGGGUAGUGGCUUACCAAGGCUUUGACGGGUAGCCGGCCUGAGAGGGUGACCGGCCACAUUGGGACUGAGGUACGGCCCAGACUCCUACGGGAGGCAGCAGGGGGAAAUAUGGCACAAUGGGCGGAAGCCUGAGGCAGCAACGCCGCGUGCGGGAUGACGGCCUUCGGGGUGUAAACCGCUUUCGCCUGUGACGAAGCGUGAGUGACGGUAAUGGGUAAAGAAGCACCGGCUAACUACGUG